rnacentral:rRNA from 1 species
AGAGCCUACCAUGGUGGUAACGGGUAACGGGGUGCUAGGGCACGACACCGGAGAGGGAGCCUGAGAAACGGCUACCACAUCCAAGGAUGGCAGCAGGCGCGCAAAUUACCCAAUCCCGACACGGGGAGGUAGUGACAAUAAAUAACAAUACGGGGUUCUUUCGGAUUUCGUAAUUGGAAUGAGUACAAUUUAAAUCUCUUAACGAGGAACAAUUGGAGGGCAAGUCUGGUGCCAGCAGCCGCGGUAAUUCCAGCUCCAAUAGCGUAUAUUAAAGUUGCUGCAGUUAAAAAGCUCGUAGUUGAAUUUCGGGACCAAUAUGUCGGUCGUGCCUCGGUACGUACUGGCAUCGUUGGUUUCUCCCUUCUGACGAACCAUGAUGUCAUUUAUUUGGUGUCGUGGGGAAUCAGGACUGUUACUUUGAAAAAAUUAGAGUGUUUAAAGCAGGCUCACGCUUGAAUACAUUAGCAUGGAAUAAUGAAAUAGGACGUUUGAUUCUAUUUUGUUGGUUUCUAGGAUCGACGUAAUGAUUAAUAGGGAUAGUUGGGGGCAUUAGUAUUCAGUUGUCAGAGGUGAAAUUCUUGGAUUUAUUGAAGACUAACUACUGCGAAAGCAUUUGCCAAGGAUGUUUUCAUUAAUCAGGAACGAAAGUUAGGGGAUCGAAGACGAUCAGAUACCGUCGUAGUCUUAACCAUAAACUAUGCCGACUAGGGAUCGGAUGAUGUUAAUUUUUUAAUGACUCAUUCGGCGCCUUACGGGAACAG